AGAGUUUGAUUCAUGGCUCAGAACGAACGCUGGCGGCAUGCCUAACACAUGCAAGUCGAACGAAGCCUUCGGGCUUAGUGGCGCACGGGUGCGUAACGCGUGGGAAUCUGCCCUUGGGUUCGGAAUAACAGUUAGAAAUGACUGCUAAUACCGAAUGAUGUCUUCGGACCAAAGAUUUAUCGCCCAAGGAUGAGCCCGCGUCGGAUUAGCUAGUUGGUGAGGUAAAGGCUCACCAAGGCGACGAUCCGUAGCUGGUCUGAGAGGAUGAUCAGCCACACUGGGACUGAGACACGGCCCAGACUCCUACGGGAGGCAGCAGUGGGGAAUAUUGGACAAUGGGCGAAAGCCUGAUCCAGCAAUGCCGCGUGAGUGAUGAAGGCCUUAGGGUUGUAAAGCUCUUUUACCCGGGAUGAUAAUGACAGUACCGGGAGAAUAAGCCCCGGCUAACUCCGUG
rnacentral:rRNA from 1 species